rnacentral:rRNA from 1 species
UACGAAGGGGGCUAGCGUUGUUCGGAAUUACUGGGCGUAAAGCGCACGUAGGCGGGUGGUUAAGUCAGGGGUGAAAUCCCGGAGCUCAACUCCGGAACUGCCUUUGAUACUGGCCAUCUAGAGAUCGGAAGAGGUGAGUGGAAUUCCCAGUGUAGAGGUGAAAUUCGUAGAUAUCGAGAGGAACACCGGUGGCGAAGGCGGCCUUACUGGACAGUGACUGACGCUGAGACGGCGAAAGCGUGGGGAGCAAACAGG